rnacentral:lncRNA from 1 species
GUGCAAGCCUGAGAAGCAGUGAGGACCCCAUGAAGCUGAAGGACAGGCCGAUCCCCCGAUAGACGAUUAGAUCUGGCUGGAGCAGAUUCAGAAAACCUCUUAUCUCCCCCAGGCGGAUGAUGUGCCCACCGACCACAUCAGCCACGUGAGAUCCAGUGCGACAGUGGAGCAUGUGUGCGCAGAGGAGACAGGAACAACAACCGGGAUGUCAUGCGGGCGCACUGGGGCUCCUUGUGGCCCCAGUGCACAGAAUUCUGGUGGACCCACCAUGUGUGGGAGCUCAGUGAGACUCAAAGCCCUCCUCACACAUCGUACGCUGAAGGUGGAGCACACUGGGAAAAUGUGCAUGCAUCAAGAAGAAAAAUGAAAACUGAUUUUGUGCAACAUUUCCACUGUUCUUGGAAGAAUGAAAUAAAUGCAUAUGAGCUAUGAAAUAUGGAUUGUAUAAUUCUAGUGAUUCUGCAUAUAAGUCAGAUGAUCUUAUUGAAAAUUGGCAUUGUACAAUAUAAAGAUGAACAGAAGAGUUCAUACUAAUAAUUUAAAAUUUUAAUUCUUCCUUUUUAGAAGAACAUGGGCAGAUUAAAAAUACCACCACACAUCAGGAAAGAAACCAGAAAAGAAAGAAAACAGCUUUCUAUUUUAAUGCUUUUAACAGUACUUAUGUCUGCUUUUUGAAAAGGAGCCCCACAGAUUAAGUACCCAGUCCUGGGCACGGGAAUACCCUGGGAUUGCUUUACAACCUCAAUUAGCUCUCCUCUCCUCCAACUGGUACCCUGAGAAAGACUUGGGUCCAUGCCACCAUCAUCUCUGGCCUGGACUCCUAAUUGGCCUCCCCGCUUCCCUCCUGAUGCUUCCCAGUCCAUUUGUCACUCAGCUGCCCAGAACAACCUAUUCAAAAGGCAGACCUGAUCUUGUUGAUGGUCCCUUCCAUACCCUCCCUGAUUAUAACUCUUCCCACCCCACUCAAAAUAAAUCCAACCAAGGUCUACAAAAUCUACCUCGUCUGCACACCCCACUGGCCUUGCCCUCACUCCAUACCCAGCCCCACUGGCCAACUUGCAGAUAAUCAAAGGUGCCGCAAUCCAUCCGGCCACAAAGCCUAGCACUUGUCCUGUGCCCUCUUUCUGAAACACUCCCCUGUCUCCCCACCUAGUUACUGCCCCUUAGCCCAUUAGAUUCUCCAUGAAGGGUCACUUCCUCAGGGAAGCAGUCUCCUCGCAUUCCCUAUCCACCCCAGGGGUACACUCUCAUAGCUCCCCAGAAUUCCC